rnacentral:lncRNA from 1 species
AGCCCCCUCCAACCUGACCUGGAAUGUUCCCAGGGAUGGGGCAUCUCCCACCUCUCUGGGCAACCUCUUCCAGUGUCUCACCACCCUCAUCGUAAAACGUUUCUUCCUUCUAUCUUGUCUGAAUCUCCCCUCUUUUAGUUUAAAACCAUUACCCCUUGUCCUAUCGCUACAGGCCCUAUUAAAACUUUUGUUCUUUUUCUCUUUAAGACAGGCAAACCAAAACAAGCUGAAGCACUUUUCAUCAGUAUACACUUCAAUCUGGAGCCAAAAAGUCACUCUGAACCCAAACCUAUGUUUUGGUUCCAAUGGUUUUUGGAAGAGAAAAACCAUAAGUCAAAACCAACCUUUUUUCCAUGUAAUCAGCGUUAACUGACCUGUUCUCUUUUUGUAACCCUUUUGGCAGAGGAGAGAAACACCUGUUUGCCCAAUUCUUGCCCCGGAUGGGCAACCAUGGGGCUGGGCUGCCCUGGCCGCCGCUGGCCCCCCCCCGUGACGGCCGUGCAUUUCUCUUCCAGGUGCUCCUUUUCAAAGGUCUCAGCAUCCCCAUGCUACCUCCUGCCGGCACUUCCACCUGGGUCCCCAGCCUCAGCUCUCCACCGACUUCACCCUGCCUCACGCGGUCCAGCCCCAGCCGGGGCUGACCCCCCACAUGGCCCCCGCGCACCAGCACAGCGGUCCCCUCCACCAGCCCUUGGCACCGGUGCCAGCCCUGCCCUUCCAGGACGUGGCCGGACCCUCCUUCCUACCUCAGGCGCUUCACCAGCAAUACCUCCUCCAGCAACAGCUUCUCGAGGCACAGCACCGCCGGCUCAUGCCCCAUCCCAGGCGGGCUCAGGAGCGCAUGUCUGUUCAGCCUCACCGUCUACACCCCAGCUUUGACUUCAGCCACCAACUGCAAACUCCACAACCCAUGGGGCCCCAGCCCAGGUAUUUAGCCGAAGGCACGGACUGGUAAGUCUUCCACGUUUCGCUCGUGAGUUGAAUGAGGUGUUUAAGAAGUCCUGGGGAGGUUGCAAGGGUUGGUGAACGUCAUGAUGGAUCAAUGCUUUCAUGAAAGCUAAUGGUUCAGCUCAACAGACACAAUGCGGGGGGGUGCGCGAUGGGAAAAUUAAUCUCUGGGAGGGCCAUGAGUGUGUGCUGAAGCCUUUAUGCAUGUAUAUGAUAACAUUGAGGCAUUGAUAUCAUAGAGUGCAGCCAAGCAUUGAUCUUCCCCAGGGGCUUUUCCUGCUGCAGGGCACAGCCAGCGUCUUUUUUCUGUAGACCGACGUCUCUGCCUGAAGUAGAUCUUCUGCUGUCCACCAGGCACUCAAAAACCAGUGGCCACAACUUUUUCUGUGUUCUAAAUUAGGGAGC